UGUUUCGGCUAGGGGGCCAUCCCGGCUUACCAACCCGAUGCAAACUGCGAAUACCGGAGAAUGUUAUCACGGGAGACACACGGCGGGUGCUAACGUCCGUCGUGAAGAGGGAAACAACCCAGACCGCCAGCUAAGGUCCCAAAGUCAUGGUUAAGUGGGAAACGAUGUGGGAAGGCCCAGACAGCCAGGAUGUUGGCUUAGAAGCAGCCAUCAUUUAAAGAAAGCGUAAUAGCUCACUGGUCGAGUCGGCCUGCGCGGAAGAUGUAACGGGGCUAAACCAUGCACCGAAGCUGCGGCAGCGACACUGUGUGUU
rnacentral:rRNA from 1 species